AAUUAAUGUGAAAUUGUAUUGAUAGUUUCGUCAUUUUGUUUAUGAUUGUAGUUGUUGUCUUCUUUGUCUUCAAAAUUUUGACAUGCGUAUUUAAUGUUAUUUGUAGAAAAUGUAA
rnacentral:sRNA from 1 species